UCUACGCAUCUCGGCGUACCGGCAUUCGACUUUGAUCUAUAAAUUUUGUACGCACGUAAUUGUUACCGGUUCAGACGACUAAUUACGACGCAUUCAUUGCUUUACUCUUUAACAUCAUUCUUCUUCUUCAACGAUUGACCGGUAGCUGGUUCCCGGCAUCUUUCAACUUUUGGUAGCUGUUUCCCGGCAUUCCUCGACUCCUGGUGGCUGCUUCCUGGCAUCUUUCGACUUUCGGUAGCUGUUUCCCGGCAUCCCACGACUCUUGGUGGCUGGUUCCUGGCAUUCCUCAACUUUUCGCUGGUGGAAGGAACGUUAAUGAAGGUUUUUACCAAUAUUUCUCAGAGCUGAUAGAAAUAAUGAAGAGAGCCCUUUGCACUUCUUACGAAACCAGUGUCAGUGAUAAAAUUAACAGUGAUACAUUUAUAAGCAGUACUUAAACAAUCUUCUUUGUACAAUUAUUGUAUAACUAGAAAAACUUGA